UGGCGGAGUGCCUCAUACAUGCAAGUCGUACGNGAACGUCACCUUCGGGUGGCAAGUAGAGUGGCGCACGGGUGAGUAACGCGUGGGUAAUCUACCUUCGGGUCUGGGACAACUCCGGGAAACUGGAGCUAAUACCGGAUAAGACCACGGAGUCCUUGGACUCUGCGGCCAAAGAUGGCCUCUUCUUGAAGGCUAUCGCCUGCUGAUGAGCCCGCGUCCCAUUAGCUUGUUGGUGAGGUAACGGCUCACCAAGGCACCGAUGGGUAGCUGGUCUGAGAGGAUGAUCAGCCACACUGGAACUGAGACACGGUCCAGACUCCUACGGGAGGCAGCAGUAGGGAAUCUUGGUCAAUGGGCGAAAGCCUGAACCAGCAACUCCGCGUGAGGGAUGAAGGCCCUCGGGUCGUAAACCUCUGUCGGGAGGGAAGAAAGCCGCAAGGUGAAUAAUCUCGCGGUCUGACGGUACCUCCAAAGGAAGCGCCGGCUAACUCCGUGCCAGCAGCCGCGGUAAUACGGAGGGCGCAAGCGUUGUUCGGAAUCAUUGGGCGUAAAGCGGGUGUAGGCGGCUUGGCAAGUCGGGUGUGAAAUCCCUGGGCUCAACCCAGGAACUGCACUCGAAACUGCCUCGCUAGAGUCUCGGAGAGGGUGGCGGA
rnacentral:rRNA from 1 species